rnacentral:rRNA from 1 species
UACGUAGGUGGCAAGCGUUAUCCGGAAUUACUGGGCGUAAAGCGCACGCAGGCGGCUCUUUAAGUUUGACGUGAAAGCUCUCGGCUUAACUGGGAGAGGUCGUUGAAUACUGAGGAGCUUGAGGCAAUGAGAGGGGUGUAGAAUUCCCGGUGUAGUGGUGGAAUGCGUAGAUAUCGGGGGGAAUACCAGUGGCGAAAGCGGCACCCUAGCAUUAGCCUGACGCUCAUGUGCGAAAGCGUGGGGAGCGAACGGG